rnacentral:rRNA from 1 species
AUUGAACGCUGGCGGCAUGCCUAACACAUGCAAGUCGAACGAGUGGCGGACGGGUGAGUAAUGUCUGGGAACCUGCCCGAUGGAGGGGGAUAACUACUGGAAACGGUAGCUAAUACCGCAUACCAUCGGAUGUGCCCAGAUGGGAUUAGCUAGUAGGUGGGGUAACGGCUCACCUAGGCGACGAUCCCUAGCUGGUCUGAGAGGAUGACCGGCCACACUGUAACGGAGACACGGCCCAGACUCCUACGGGAGGCAGCAGUGGGGAAUAUUGGGCAAUGGGGGCAAGCCUGAUGCAGCCAUGCCGCGUGUAUGAAGAAGGCCUUCGGGUUGUAAAGUACUUUCAGCGGGGAGGCGGUACUCGCAGAAGAAGCACCGGCUAACUCCGUGCCAGCAGCCGCGGUAAUAC